rnacentral:rRNA from 1 species
AGAGUUUGAUCCUGGCUCAGGAUGAACGCUAGCGGCAGGCCUAAUACAUGCAAGUCGAACGGUGUAGCAAUACACAGUGGCGCACGGGUGCGUAACGCGUAUGCACCUCCUGGUAGUGGGGAAUAGCCCGGGGAAACCCGGAUUAAUACGCAUAAGAUAGUUAAAUGGCAUCAUUUGAUUAUGAAACAUUUAUGGCUACUAGAUGGGCAUGCGUAAGAUUAGCUAGUUGGUGGUGUAAUGGCCACCAAGGCGAUGAUCUUUAGGGGUUCUGAGAGGAACCCCCACACUGGUACUGAGAUACGGACCAGACUCCUACGGGAGGCAGCAGUAGGGAAUAUUGGGCAAUGCCCGCAAGGGUGACCCACCAUGCCGCGUGCAGGAAGAAGGCCUUCUGGGUUGUAAACUGCUUUUGGAAGGGAACAAAAUGGUCUUGCGAGACAACUUGAGUGUACCUUCAGAAUAAGCACCGGCUACUCCGUGCCAGCAGCCGCGGUAAUACGGAGGGUGCAAGCGUUGUCCGGAUUUAUUGGGUUUAAAGGGUGCGUAGGCGGCUUAUUAAGUCAGGGGUGAAAGACUAUUGCUUAACAAUGGCAGUGCCUUUGAUACUGAUAAGCUUGAGUACAGCUGAGGCAGAUGGAACGGGUGGUGUAGCGGUGAAAUGCAUAGAUACCAUCCAGAACACCGAUUGCGAAGGCAGUCUGCUAAACUGUAACUGACGCUGAGGCACGAAAGCGUGGGGAUCGAACAGGAUUAGAUACCCUAGUAGUCC